CACGUAGGGCGCGAGCGUUGUCCGGAAUUAUUGGGCGUAAAGAGCUCGUAGGCGGCCUGUUGCGUCCGCUGUGAAAGCCCGGGGCUUAACCCCGGGUCGGCAGUGGAUACGGGCAGGCUAGAGGUAGGUAGGGGAGAAUGGAAUUCCCGGUGUAGCGGUGAAAUGCGCAGAUAUCGGGAGGAACACCGGUGGCGAAGGCGGUUCUCUGGGUCUUACCUGACGCUGAGGAGCGAAAGCGUGGGGAGCGAACAGG
rnacentral:rRNA from 1 species